CAAAGCUUACAAGGGAGACGGGACGUGGCCCCCACCUCAUUGUAAACACACGCUGGAAAGAGAAAAGAAGAAGACCAAACCAACUCCAGGCACAGCGUCGGUGGCAACAGGAAAGAAUGGUGCACCUGUUACUGUUAUCGAGAUUUCCCCCGAGACGACAGAAGUCAAUGAUUAUUACCUGUGGUCCAUCUUCAACUUUGUUUACCUGAACUUCUGCUGCCUGGGCUUCAUUGCAUUAGCCUAUUCGCUCAAGGUGCGAGACAAGAAGCUGUUGAAUGAUCUCACUGGGGCUGUGGAAGAUGCAAAGACGGCACGAGCCUUCAACAUAACAAGUUCAGCUCUAGCCACACUCUGCAUCAUAAUCCUGCUGCUGUACCUCCGGUCCCCACCUGCUCAAUUCUAGGGUCAGAAUAUUAACCCUGUAGCCAAACUCUGACGGAUAGCCAGGAACUGUUGAUGAGACAAGACAUAAGGAGAAAGCAGCAAGCACAGUUGUUCUCUCCAUUUAACCAUCCCUCCUUUAUAUGCCCCACUCCGGAACUCACUGUGAUGUCAUUAUUCCACUCCACAAGGAAGCCUCCAGAUUGGCUAAUGGCAGCUACUAUGUAACAUAGCGAAGGAGGGUGUUUUACCUUGUUUGCAGCACAGGGGCGGUGAGUCAGUCAAUUGAGUCUGGGCCACUCACUGAGCUCAUUCCGCUCCUGUGCCAAGUCCAAAAUGACCAUGCCUCUGAAUUUCAAUUGUCAGCUCUCUGGGCAGCUGAUUACAUCUCAUUAUUAAAAGACAUUUUUUUUCCUAA